rnacentral:lncRNA from 1 species
GAAACUUCUGCAUAAGUGCCUGUAGGGCAACAGGGAAGCAAGAAAGGGAAGCGUUGCCUUGUGGUACUCUCCAUGCAUCUGGGAACUGUUCCAGCACAGCCCAGGAAGAACAGGCCUGGAAAUCAGUGUGGUGAUUUAUUUCAGAACAGUGUGGCUGAUUUCCAUGCAUCUACUGAACACAGCUGGACAGCCUAUGAUGGCUGCUGUGAAUUCCCAGAGGAAGGCUGCAUGUUUGCAAACACCAGCAACCACAGAUUGCUGCAGGUCCCAAAGCUUUGGAAGGAC